CUAAAUGAUGAAUGAAACAUUCUUCACUUUGACCUGACUGUCUAGUGAUGACUACCUCAUGUCUGACU